UUCUCAAUAGCUCAAUGGUAGAGCAGCAAUUUCCUACUUUACUUCUUUUAGUUCGAAUCUAAAUUGAGGAA
rnacentral:tRNA from 3 species